rnacentral:rRNA from 1 species
GACAUAAGUAACGAUAAAGCGGGUGAAAAGCCCGCUCGCCGGAAGACCAAGGGUUCCUGACCAACGUUAAUCGGGGCAGGGUGAGUCUACCCCUAAGGCGAGGCCGAAAGGCGUAGUCGAUGGGAAACAGGUUAAUAUUCCUGUACUUGGUUUUACUGCGAAGGGGUGACGGAGAAGGCUCUGUUAGCCGGGCGACGGUUGUCACUGUUUAAGCAUGUAGGAUUGUUAUCCAGGCAAAUCCGGAUAAUCAAGGCUGAGGUGUGAUGACGAGGCACUACGGUGCUGAAGU